UACGUAGGGACCGAGCGUUGUCCGGAAUCAUUGGGCGUAAAGAGCGUGUAGGCGGCUCGCUAAGUCUUGCGUGAAAUCUCGGGGCUCAACCCCGAGCGGUCGUGAGAAACUGGCGGGCUAGAGUGCGGGAGAGGAGAGUGGAAUUCCUGGUGUAGCGGUGGAAUGCGCAGAUAUCAGGAAGAACACCAACGGCGAAGGCAGCUCGCUGGGACGGAACUGACGCUAAGGCGCGAAAGCGUGGGGAGCGAACAGG
rnacentral:rRNA from 1 species